GACGAACGCUGGCGGCGUGCUUAACACAUGCAAGUCGAACGGAAAGGCCCUGCUUUUGUGGGGUGCUCGAGUGGCGAACGGGUGAGUAACACGUGAGUAACCUGCACUUGACUUUGGGAUAACUUCAGGAAACUGGGGCUAAUACCGGAUAGGAGCUCCUGCUGCAUGGUGGGGGUUGGAAAGUUUCGGCGGUUGGGGAUGGACUCGCGGCUUAUCAGCUUGUUGGGGGGGUAGUGGCUUACCAAGGCUUUGACGGGUAGCCGGCCUGGGAGGGUGACCGGCCACAUUGGGACUGAGAUACGGCCCAGACUCCUACGGGAGGCAGCAGUGGGGAAUAUUGCACAAUGGGCGGAAGCCUGAUGCAGCAACGCCGCGUGCGGGAUGACGGCCUUCGGGUUGUAAACCGCUUUCGCCUGUGACGAAGCGUGAGUGACGGUAAUGGGUAAAGAAGCACCGGCUAACUACGUG
rnacentral:rRNA from 1 species